UACGUAGGUGACAAGCGUUGUCCGGAUUUACUGGGCGUAAAGAGCGCGCAGGCGGUCGAUCAAGUCGAGUGUGAAAGCCCCCGGCUCAACUGGGGAGGGUCAUUCGAAACUGGUCGACUCGAAGGCAGGAGAGGGUAGUGGAAUUCCCGGUGUAGUGGUGAAAUGCGUAGAUAUCGGGAGGAACACCAGUGGCGAAGGCGGCUCUCUGGACAGAAACUGACGCUGAGGCGCGAAAGCUAGGGGAGCAAACAGG
rnacentral:rRNA from 1 species